UGGGGAAUAUUGCACAAUGGGCGCAAGCCUGAUGCAGCCAUGCCGCGUGUAUUAAGAAGGCCUUCGGGUUGUAAAGUACUUUCAGCGGGGAGGAAGGGAGUAAAGUUAAUACCUUUGCUCAUUGACGUUACUCGCAGAAGAAGCACCGUCUAACUCCGUUCCAGCAUCCGCGGUAAUACGGUGGGUUCAAGCGUUAAUCGGAAUUACUUGGCGUAAAGCGCACGCAGGCGGUUUGUUAAGUCAGAUGUGAAAUCCCCGGGCUCAACCUGGGAACUGAAACUGGUACUGGCAAGCUUGAGUCUCGUAGAGGGGGGUAGAAUUCCAGGUAUAGCGGUGAAAUGCGUAGAGAUCUGGAGGAAUACCGGUGGCGAAGGCAGCCCCCUGGACGAAGACUGACGCUAAGGUGCGAAAGCGUGGGGAGCAAACAGG
rnacentral:rRNA from 1 species